GACGAACGCUGGCGGCGUGCUUAACACAUGCAAGUCGAACGGAAAGGCCCUGCUUUUGUGGGGUGCUCGAGUUGCGAACGGGUGAUUAACACGUGAGUAACCUGCCCUUGACUUUGGGAUAACUUCAGGAAACUUGGGCUAAUACUGGAUAGGAGCUCCUGCUGCAUGGUGGGGGUUGUAAAGUUUCGGCGGUUGGGGAUGGACUCGCGGCUUAUCAGCUUGUUGGUGGGGUAGUGGCUUACCAAGGCUUUGACGGGUAGCCGGCCUGAGAGGGUGACCGGCCACAUUGGGACUGAGAUACGGCCCAGAAUCCUACGGGAGGCAGCAGUGGGGAAUAUUGCACAAUGGGCGGAAGCCUGAUGCAGCAACGCCGCGUGCGGGAUGAAGGCCUUCGGGUUGUAAACCGCUUUCGCCUGUGACGAAGCGUGAGUGACGGUAAUGGGUAAAGAAGCACCGGCUAACUACGUG
rnacentral:rRNA from 1 species